AGGUCAUCCACUGCACACCAGAUGUACUGACCUGAGCAAUUUCCCCAAAUGUGAGAAACUGGACCUGUGGUAGUGGGGACUGUGUGCAAGCUCUCCC
rnacentral:snRNA from 1 species